rnacentral:rRNA from 1 species
CAGCCGCCGCGGGAAUACGGAGGGGGCUAGCGUUGUUCGGAAUUACUGGGCGUAAAGCGCACGUAGGCGGCUUGGUAAGUUAGAGGUGAAAGCCCGGAGCUCAACUCCGGAAUUGCCUUUAAGACUGCCGAGCUAGUAGGUGAGAGAGGUAAGUGGAAUUCCGAGUGUAGAGGUGAAAUUCGUAGAUAUUCGGAAGAACGCCCGUGGCGAAAGCGGGCUCCUGGACCCCACCUGACGCUGAGACGCGAAAGCCAGGGGAGCGAACGGGAUUAGAUACCCCCGUAGUCCCUGUCUCUUAUAC